rnacentral:rRNA from 1 species
AUUGAACGCUGGCGGCAGGCCUAACACAUGCAAGUCGAGCGAGCGGCGGACGGGUGAGUAAUGUAUGGGGACUGCCCGAUAGAGGGGGAUAACUACUGGAAACGGUGGCUAAUACCGCAUACUGUCGGAUAACCCAUAUGGGAUUAGCUAGUGGGUGGGGUAACGGCUCACCAAGGCGACGAUCCGUAGCUGGUUUGAGAGGACGACCAGCCACACUGGGACUGAGACACGGCCCAGACUCCUACGGAGGCAGCAGUGGGGAAUUUUGGACAAUGGGGGCAACCCUGAUCCAGCCAUCCCGCGUGUGCGAUGAAGGCCUUCGGGUUGUAAAGUACUUUCAGUCGGGAGGCGUUACCGACAGAAGAAGCACCGGCUAACUCCGUGCCAGCAGCCGCGGUAAUUC